rnacentral:rRNA from 1 species
CCCUUAGAGUUUGAUCCUGGCUCAGAGUGAACGCUGGCGGCAGGCCUAACACAUGCAAGUCGAACGGCAGCACAGAGGAGCUUGCUCCUUGGGUGGCGAGUGGCGGACGGGUGAGGAAUACAUCGGAAUCUACCCAGUCGUGGGGGAUAACGUAGGGAAACUUACGCUAAUACCGCAUACGACCUGAGGGUGAAAGCAGGGGACCGCAAGGCCUUGCGCGAUUGGAUGAGCCGAUGUCCGAUUAGCUAGUUGGUGAGGUAAAGGCUCACCAAGGCGACGAUCGGUAGCUGGUCUGAGAGGAUGAUCAGCCACACUGGAACUGAGACACGGUCCAGACUCCUACGGGAGGCAGCAGUGGGGAAUAUUGGACAAUGGGCGCAAGCCUGAUCCAGCCAUGCCGCGUGUGUGAAGAAGGCCUUCGGGUUGUAAAGCACUUUUGUUGGGGAAGAAAUCUUCCGGCCUAAUACGCCGGGAGGCUGACGGUACCCAAAGAAUAAGCACCGGCUAACUUCGUGCCAGCAGCCGCGGUAAUACGAAGGGUGCAAGCGUUACUCGGAAUUACUGGGCGUAAAGCGUGCGUAGGUGGUUCGUUAAGUCUGCCGUGAAAGCCCCGGGCUCAACCUGGGAAUGGCGGUGGAUACUGGCGGACUAGAGUGCGGUAGAGGGUGGUGGAAUUCCCGGUGUAGCAGUGAAAUGCGUAGAGAUCGGGAGGAACAUCUGUGGC